GCCUAAUACAUGCAAGUCGAGCGGAUCUCGGCUUUCCUUACGGAAAGCUCUUGGUCAGCGGCGGACGGGUGAGUAACACGUAGGCAACCUGCCCGUAAGACCGGGAUAACCCACGGAAACGUGAGCUAAGACCGGAUAAGCGAAGCCCUCGCAUGAGGGAAUCGAGAAAGACGGGGAAACCUGUCACUUACGGAUGGGCCUGCGGCGCAUUAGCUAGUAGGUGAGGUAACGGCUCACCUAGGCGACGAUGCGUAGCCGACCUGAGAGGGUGAUCGGCCGCACUGGGACUGAGACACGGCCCAGACUCCUACGGGAGGCAGCAGUAGGGAAUCUUCGGCAAUGGACGCAAGUCUGACCGAGCAACGCCGCGUGAGUGAUGAAGGUUUUCGGAUCGUAAAACUCUGUUGCCAAGGAAGAACGCCUGAGAGAGUAACUGCUCUUAGGGUGACGGUACUUGAGAAGAAAGCCCCGGCUAACUACGUGCCAGCCGCCGCCGUAACAC
rnacentral:rRNA from 1 species